UGUAAUGAUUAUUGAAAGGCAUAACCGUACAUAAAAUGGAAAAUUUCAACCAAAAAUUAAGAAUUUAGUUUUCAGGACCUUAAGACUUACAGUUGGAAGUUGGAUUUAAAUCGAUAAAUGCAUUGGAAUGAGAAAAAUUGUAGCAGAUUAGGAAAAUAGCUUUUGACAGACGGACAGACGGAAAUGAAAUUUCUAAAUGAAUUAUUUUCGAUCAUAGUUGGCAAGAACGUAAAUUGCAAAUAUCCUCACGAAAAUUCCAUUACGGAACGGAGCAAACUUUUCACUAGUGAAAGGAUAACCAUCACUGAUUUUUUUUUGUGUUUUAAGAUAAUGGCAAACGAACUGACGCUCAAACUACUCAGAACGACCAACGUAAUGUAUACCGUGUUACUACAAUAUUUCGAUUAGCUGCAAACUAAAUGAUGAAAUUUAGCUCAAUAAAAAGGGAAUCCUUUGUGUAGCCGAGCCUGAACUGCGUGCUACUAAGCGACGCUUCUUCGUAGAAAAUUUCUAUUUGGAGAGGUUUCGCCAGGAAUAGUGAAGGCAAUGCCAACUCCGAAUAAUAUUUAGAUGCUGGAGACAGAAUUAUAACAUACAGUCAAUCAAAUAAAUGUACGUACACAUGUGUCUAGCAAAUAAAAUGGAUAUAUUCCCCCUAUAGUA